ensembl:lncRNA
CAACCCCAGAAGUGCAAGAAAAAUAAUAAUGCAAAAUGGAAAAUUAAAAGAGCAAGAAUGGCGCAGAAAAAGCGAGGAUUAAAAAGUGAAAAGCCCUGGAGACACAUGCAGCCAAAUGUGCAAAAAUCGGCAGCUUUUUCAAUCAAACGUGCUUGCGGCCUAAAACGACCAAUGAAAACAGUGAAACGGCCCCUCAGAUACAAGAUGCAUCACCAAGCACCAGCCAUGAGCCCACAGUUCUAGAGUGUGCAGUCAUCGCCAGAUCGUACUUCGUGUUACCGUGUUUUUUGAUCGUCACCUCCAGCCUGCAGUCUUCACUCCCUCCAGCCCGAUACGCCCCACUCCAACCAACCUCCUGCUUCACUCCUAGCUGAACUAAAUAAACCUGUUCACCGUCACUCCAACUCCUGUCCUGUCUCUGUGUUCUGCUCUUGGGUCCAGCAGCUAACGCUACCCUAACACUCUCUCUAACUCUCUUUACCUCUCUUUACCUCUCUCUCUACCUCUCUUUACCUACUUCCUUUGCUUUCACAAGUCUCCAUAACCAUUUUCACUUUCAGUAAUCCUUUCCUUUCCUUUCUGGUUUAUUCGUUUUU